AUAACUCUGGAGAAGUUUGCGUUUUGCAAGUGCCGAAGGUGUAAGGGCAAAGUCCCGAUCUCUCAGGCAAAAGGACAGAUGAU
rnacentral:ncRNA from 1 species